AAAAAAACACAUGGAAAACUUAUUGCGAUUGACAGAGUAUAAACUGCUCGUGGUGCUUGGUCAAUGAUGACAUCACCAAGGUGGUGCCCCUUUACUUUGGGUUCUGCAGCUUCUUGGUAUCUGUUGAGGUCACCUUAAUACUGCAGUACAGGCUGUGCCUCUGGCAUGGUGGCGCUCAUACAGAUGCUGGAUAUCCUCCUGUGGUUAUUUGGAAAAGCUGCGAAUCUGCUGAACUGAACGACAAUGAGGCGAAUACUCUCUCGGGUGAUCUGUGGGUCCGAUUGGGUUUCUGCCAGGAAGAAUUCACAGCAGAUUUUAAGCCGAUGUGCGAACAUAGCCUUACAUGUGGUUUUUCAUAGACCUUUCAUGACGGUCUAUAAAUCGAGAUUGCUGGAUUAAAGGAAUUUAGCU